UCCUCAAGAAAUAGAGGCGGCUCUGCCCCUUUUUGUAGAGAGCGUCUGUGUUUAGGGACCAGUCCAACUUAUUAUCCAGGUGUACACCUAGAUACCUUUAGCUUGGCGCCACCUCGAUGUCCACCCCACAGGUAUUCACUGGCUGAAGAGGGGGCUUGGACCUGCGGAAAUCUAUGAUCAUUUCCUUGGUCUUUGAGGUGUUCAGGAGGAGACAGUUCUUGUGACUCAAGUCACUGAAGGCUUUUAUCAGGUCCCUAUAUUCAGACUCCUGCCCAUUCCUGAUACACGCCACAAUAGCAGUGUCGUCCGAGUAUUUCUGGAUGUGGCAGGGCUCAGAGUUGUAUUUCAAUGUAGUUGUAUUUGUAUUUGUAUGUUGGGUUGGAUGGUGUUGAACGCGCUUGAAAAUCAAAGAACAUGAUUCUCACAUAAGCGCCAGGUUCCUCCAGAUGAGCUAGGGCACGGUGAAGCAUCUAGAGAACAGCAUCGUUCACUCCAAUGUGUUGUUUGUAUGCAAACUGCAGGGGGUUGGGUCUCAGUAGGCGUAGAAUCAGCCACUCCAAGGUCUUCAUGAUGUGCGAAGUGAGGGCUACUGGUCUGAAGUCAUUAAGUUCAGCUAGACAUUUAAUUUUUGGUACCGGCACAACACAGGAAGUCUUCCACAGUGCCGGGACCCGCCCCGACUGUAGACAGAGGUUGAAGAUCUUGUGGAGAGGUUGACACAGUUGGGCAGCACAGUCUUUGCAGAGCCUUGGACACACACCAUCUGGGCCAGCAGCCUUCCCAGAGCAAAGUCUUCCCAGCUCCAACCUCACCCCCAGGUCCUCCAGGGAGGAGGAGGAGGAGGAGAAGCAUUGGAAGUGGGAGUGGCUGCCGUAUUGAAUCUGUUGAAGAACUGAUUGAGUUCAUCAGCUCUUUCUGCAUCACCCACCACUGGCUGUCUUUUCUUGUUGUUGUAACCAGAGAUGGUGUUGACUCCUCUCCACAUUUCACGGAUGUUGCUGUGUUGUAGAUUCCUCUCCAAUUUCUUUUUGUAUUCCACCUUUGCCAUCUUAAGUCUCUUCUUCAACUCAUGUUGCACUUGUUUGAGCCGUGCUUUGUCACCAUCUCUAAAAGCUGCCUUCUUCUCAUUGAGGAUUGCCUUUAUGUCACUGGUAAUCCAAGGUUUGUUAUUGUGGAAACAGCGUACAGUCUUUGUAGGUAUGACUGUGUCUCUACAGAAGUUGAUGUAAUCAGUAAAGCAGUCAACCUGUCUAUCAAUGUCCAUGAUAUUCUCCUCUGUUUCCAGCAGCACAUCCCAGUCUGUGCAUUCAAAGCAGUCUCUUAGAGCCUCAGUAGCCUCUGGUGUCCAUUUCCUGACUGUGAGUUUAGUUGCAGACUGCCUCCACACACGGGGUUUGUAACAUGUCUGCAGAAGAACCAAGCUGUGAUCUGACCUGCCCAGUGGUGGUAAGGCAAAGGCUCUGUAAGCUUCCUUGACAUUGACAUACAGCAGAUCAAGGGUUUUAUUUUCUCUAGUUGGACAUUUAACAAACUGUGUAAAUCCAGUCAGGUGAGAGGAGAGGGAAACAUGGUUGAAGUCUCCUGAUACUAUCAAUAGUGCCUCAGGAUGUUUAGUCUGUAUCCUAGCAACGAGUUCAUGGAGAACUUCACAUGGAACUUCAGCAGUUGCCUUGGGUGGGAUGUACACAAGUAUUGUUAUGAUAUGACUGAAUUCUCUUGGUACAUAAUGUGGCCUCAUACCAACUGCCAAAAGUUAAAUAUCUGGACAACAUCUUCUCCUUGACAGUAAUAUGCGCAGGACUGCACCAUCUCUGGUUCACAAAUAAAGCCAGGCCCCCACCUUUUUUCUUGCCACUAGCUUUAGAGUCUUUGUCCGAUUGUAUGAGAGUGAAGCCAGGUAGAUCCACGUUGGAGUCUGAGAUGUUUUGAUUCAACCACGUUUCCGUAAAACACAUGAAACUGCACUCACGGUAUACUUUCUGAGUCUUCACCAAUAUCUCCAGUUCAUCACUCUUGUUGGGCAGACAGUUGACAUUUCCCAUGAUGACUGAUGGCAGAAAGGGCUUAUAUCUCCAUUUCCAAGCCUUCACCUUUGCACCAGCAUGGCAACCACGAAAACACCUAUUAAUCUCGGCUGGAAAAGGAUGGUGUCUCACAGACUUGCUCCGUUUCAACGAAAAAAGCUCCUCUCUUGAAUUAACUCUUCUCUUAACAGAAGUAUCCAUUAGUAGUUGAGAAAAAUAUAAUAAAAAUUCAGUAAAACUAAGUACAACCAUAAUGUAAAUUUUAUCUGUGCACAUGGUUCCCCCCACCGACAACCCACUGUACAACUCUGUACAUUGCUGUUGUGUUAACUGAAACUUUUAUUCUAAUUCUAAUUAUUUAAUUUUUAAUUUGUAUUUCUAUUUUUCAGUCUUGUUUCACAUUGUCGUGGAAGCCAUCAAAAACAUUUCACUGUACAAUGUUUUUGAAGGCAAUGCACACAUAGUUAAACAAUGUGCCAGCGAGGAGGGAGGACUACAUGCAGGUCACCAAGUCAACAGUAAACUUUUAUUUCAACCAGGGUAGUUUCAGUGAAUCAAGAGGGUUUUAGUUUUGUAUGUUGCCACCUUUUUCACUACAGAGUUUGCAGGUCUCAAUAAUGACCAAUACAUGUCUGAUUGUUGAUGUACUGAUUUAUGUUAUUUUUCUCACCUUUCUUUAUAUGUUUUGUGAUAGGUGAUGUUAUACUGGAGCAGUUCACUGUUCUCCUGUCCCUUGAGGGGAAAAGUGAGGAGUUCCACUCUUUCCAACCCAUGCGAAAGAGAGUGGACGUCUUCUUGUGUGAUGUCCUCAGCAAGCCCUACCCUGACCUCUGGGCUUUUUGCCAGAAGCUGCUCAUCUUGUCACAUGGUCAACUGUCUGUCGAGAGAGGCUUAUCGGUGAACAAAGAGGUGGAGACAACCAACAUAAUGGAGGACACUGUUGUUGCUCGGCGGCUUGUGUGCAACUAUGUCGCUCUACACUGAGGUGUUACUAAGGUGCCACUCACUAAGGAGCUCCUGAAGACUGUGGAAGGAGCUAGGACCAGGUACUGUGACUACAUUUCAGAGGAGAGAAGGAAGAAGGAGUUAGAAGCGCAGGCUCAGAAGAGAAAGGCUGCAGAGGACAACUUCGAGAAACUAAGAACGAGAAAGAAAACCAUCCUAGAGGUGUGUCAAGGUCUGGCCAGAGAGGCUGAUAAGUCAGUAGAAGAGGCAGAGGCCAAGUCUGGCACGAAGCUGGCCAAGCUCAUCUCCAAGUCAAAUAUCCUGCGAAAGGGCAGCGAGGAGAAGUUGGCUGAGCUUGAGAUCAUUGAGAAGGAGAUAGAGGCAAAUGGAGCAGAGCUCAGAAAGAUGAAGUGACUUUUUUGUUGUUCGGGACUAGUUCAGUUUUCUUAUCAACCAGGUUUGAUUGCUCUGGCUUUGAUCUGAACUGAGCUUUUGUGACUGUGUUCAUAUGAAAUGACUGUUUUCUACUUUAAUAAAUUCACUUUUGAUUAAU